AUGGGAUGGGAUGGUGGGUGGAUGGCAGAUGGUUCACAUGGUGCAUGCAACGGACAAAGAGGACACAAAAAACUUUUGCUUUGUGCCUGCCUCCGACUCAAAUCCGUCCCAAAUUUGCACUGGAAUUGGGUCCGAAUGGAUACGGAACGAACAGAAAGUGCAAAUGGGUUUGUGCGUUGGGCAAAGAUUUCUGUCAGCAUGGAUCCAAACGGACAGGGGCGGACGAAAUGUGUUUGUGCGUUGGAGUUGCUCAAACUUUUGUUGGCCAAUCCAAUGCCAAGUGAUUUGUCUGGAAUUUGA
rnacentral:rRNA from 1 species